UGGACCUAUAAUGGUCUUUCCUGAUAAUCAAGGCUCAGGGUCAGGCUGGUUACACAGAUAUCCCUAACUUCUGGACUAGGCUGUAGCCUUCAGCUUCACACAUGAGGAGCCUGAUGCCUUCAGCCAUGUCAAUAAUAAUUGCUCAUAUUAAUUGAGACUUACUGCACAUCAGAAUUCAUGAAACCCAAAGGAAGAAAGAGAAGAAAAAUCAUAAAAUUAAGAAGAGAAAUCACUGAAAUAGAAGAAAGAGUAACAGUAGAGAAAAGAACAAAUACUCAGAUACUCAGAAAGCCAAAGCAGCUGCCUGAGCCAGGUCUGAAG
rnacentral:lncRNA from 1 species